GGGAUAGCAGUUAAAAAUAUUUGACUUGCACUCAAAAGAAAUUGAACAAAUUCAAUCUAUCUUA
rnacentral:tRNA from 1 species